AAAAGCUAGCCAGGGUUCCUCCUGUCUUCUGCAGGCCUGUCCACACAUCCACAGUGAGCACGUGCUGGGCCAAGGCUCUUUUCACAGGGGACAGGGUGGGAAAUUGUCUGCGAGGAAGUGCCCAGGAAGCCCGGUUGGUUGAUUCGGUUCUCUGCACCAGUGGUGAAGACAGGCUGCCUGCCUGCCUCUGGGGGCACGUUGGGUACAAACUUCUUGUAACUGUUGUGAGCAGGACAGGCAGGAGGAAAUCAAAGUGACAGCUCUGUCUUCAGCUGACCAGGAUUCAGGCUGGAAUUGGGAGUUAGGCCUGAAUUCAGACCUGAAAAGCAAUCACUAGGAGCCCCAGUCCCUGUAAGGGUAAAGGUAGAUCAACGGGGCUUAUGGGAUUUGCUUCCUCUGCUGAGUGAUCCCCACUUCUCUCUGCCUGUGUAAAUCCUCUCUCUGCUUUGAAAAGCAGCUCAGGGCUGCCUCUUUAGGGAAGCCUUCCCUGACUGCAAAUACCCUCCCUAAGGUUUCCACCCUCUGAACAGCUUGCAGUAUUGUCUUCAGGUGGCACUGAGGAACAGGGCACUCAGGAGGUAUCUUGGGCUGCUCCUUAGACACUCGUGGGCCUGCAGUCACAGAGGCUGGGCGUGUAUAGAAAGAGAUGCUCUCCACAUCCACAGCCCAGCCUAGCAGAAUACACAAAAGGCAGCCUGUGUGCCCCAGUCCGGCACCCCGGGCAAUUCCACGGGGAGAGGAGUGAAAGAUAGCCCUGUCAACAGUGCUCUGAAACUGAUGUCAGCUGUGAGCCCCAUUCUGGUGGCCUCCAAUCUGCCUCAUGGACCAGGCAAGCAGAGUGCCACAGACCAGGACACGUAUUCUCCCCGAGGGAACCUCAGAAUUUGGCUUAGGAACAGGAUGCCCCAACACCUCGAGAACUUCAUACGUUGGAAAGCAGUAUCCUGUCGUGACUAGCCCUAUGGGGCCAAAGGCAGCGUCUGCCCAGGAAUUGAAAAAACACCUGAUUAUGUGGUAGGUGAGCCUUUCCUGCCCCACAGGUACCACCCCUCACAUACCUGUGCGUUCCUUUUUCUCUACCAGCUUCCUCAACGUCACACCCCACUGGCUUACCAGAUUCCUGCUGAAUCCCAGCCUGCUAGUGCCACUCGAUGGCAUCCAAACAGGUGCCAAAACUAGGCCAUGAAGGGGGACAUUCUUCACGGCCUUCGGGAUCAAUGAAAAAGGCUGAACCCAGGCAAGCCAAGGGCCUGGCUUGCCUUCAGGAAAUUCCGGGCUGUCUGCAGCAGCUGUGGUUCGAGUAGUACAACAAAUUCACUUACUGAAUGACAACAGCUUUAUUGGCAAGCCAAUUCAAUUAAAGCCCCUGCAUCCAACAAAGUCUCCGGCAGCCCUCUCUGCAUAAAGAACAUGGAAUCGUGCCUACAUUUCCCUGAGUGCCCUCAGCCCUAGCUGUCCCUCUCCAUGAGAGGGAGAGGGAUGAAUGAAUUAGACUCGGAUGAUGGUAAUUAA